GUGGGGAAUAUUGGGCAAUGGGCGAAAGCCUGACCCAGCAACGCCGCGUGAAGGAAGAAGGUUUUCGGAUUGUAAACUUCUGUCCUCAGGGAAGAAGAAAGUGACGGUACCUGAGGAGGAAGCCCCGGCUAACUACGUGCCAGCAGCCGCGGUAAUACGUAGGGGGCGAGCGUUGUCCGGAAUGACUGGGCGUAAAGGGCGCGUAGACGGCUGUCUAAGUCUGGAGUGAAAGUCCUGCUUUCAAGGUGGGAAUUGCUUUGGAGACUGGAUGGCUUGAGUGCGGAAGAGGUAAGUGGAAUUCCCAGUGUAGCGGUGAAAUGCGUAGAGAUUGGGAGGAACACCAGUGGCGAAGGCGACUUACUGGGCCGUAACUGACGUUGAUGCGCGAAAGCGUGGGGAGCGAACAGGAUUAGAAACCCGGGUAGUCC
rnacentral:rRNA from 1 species